rnacentral:lncRNA from 1 species
UUUCAUUAGUUUAAAUUCAUAUUCAAAUCCUUCACCUUGCAUUUGCCAGCAAACUUUUUUACAGAUGGCCAGUUCGAGUUAGGGGUGGGCAUAUAUCGGGUAAACCGAUAACCCGAACCAUUAAUUACUUAUUGGGUUAUCGGAAUUGGGUUAUUGGGUUAAUGGUUCGGUAAUGAGUAAAAACAAAUAUAUUAUUGGGUUAUCGGUUCGGAAUCUGGUAAGCAUUUCUGUUAUUGGGUAAACCCAAAACCCAAUAAGGAGCUAUAAAUUUACUAGUUUACCCUUAGUGCAUUGUAACAUAGGGUUUCAUACUUUCAUUUUCAGUUUCACUCACGCAGUCACGCUCAGACCAGUACGCCUACGCCCGCCUCCUAACUCAUAUUCAUGCCAGUCCUCACCUUCAGACCACCGACAAUUCGCCACCGCCUCACAACUCACGCGGUCACGCCUGCCCAACUGAGCCCGUCACUCCUUCAUCGUGUAAGUUUUGUGUUUAUAAGUUUUGGCUCAAG